UUUGCCUUUUCUAUUUAGCUGUCUUUCUGUUUAUCGGUCACGGCUUUCAAAUGAAAAGCUCAAUACAGAAAAGGAGAGUGCUAUCUGAUGGUGUAAGAAGCCUGAGUUGGGAAAGCUCUCCAAUACUCUCUUCAGCACGUCAAUUGAUCUAUCUACACAUCCCUCCCAAGUGAAGUGACACUCCAGCUGCUGCAGUUCAGCUUCUAGGAAAGUGGCCUGAGUCAUGCUGUAACACAGAAUUAUAUCAAAUAUUUUAACACCCUGCAAUUCGCUGAGAGACAUUGUAUAAAUGCCAAUAUUAAACAAUAAUGGCACUCUGACCAAAAAGGAAAACAAAGUUAAAUGCUGGAGAUUUCACACUGUUAUUCACACCUUGCUUAAAAUAGAUCAAUACUGUUGCCAGAUGUAUACCCAGAACCCAGAAUAGACAGGGUACAUUGUGUCGUAUAAUAGAUUGUUGUUAAAGACAAGAUAAGAUUCCAUUCCGUAGCAGUCCAGUUGUCUCAUUGUUGACACCACUGCAAAUUAAGGCAUCUGUGGCUGGUUAAUGGUCAGCAUAGAUGGUAGGCACUCAUUGUUACAUGUCCUUUUAAAGUCUGAGAUCUGGACAAAUGAUCUUUAAGUGCAUUGUACAGAACUGACAAGCAGUAAAUAAUCUAUAUCAUAAUCUAUAUCAUCUAUAUAAUCUACAUCUACCAAAUGUAGCUUUUGUAAGCCUUUUUAUAGACACUUUAAUGCUUUCAACACCAAGUGUCUAAUAAGACCACAACUAUAAUCAUUUACAUAUCUGUCUGAGACACUACUGCAAGCUGUGUUGUCAAUGAGUGUAUAAAGUUUUGGCUGUUGCCUUUAACUGUUAUGAUUGGGCAAUUAUGAACUGCCCCUAAACUAUUGUGUCUCAACAUGAUGUUUUGAUGAUAUGCAGUGAGGAACCAGAUAUAAUGUAUAAAUUGUACCUCUGUUCUCUUCAUGUUAAACUGUGAAAUAAAGGAUAAAAAUAAAAAUAUACCAGUGUCAAAA